UAUUGAUGAACAUUGUGCGGGUAGCUGGUCGGUGGACUCCGGUCGGUGAGUGGGGUACGUCACACCCCAAUCUCAAUGUUUAAGACUUCAAUUCCAACAACUGUAGAAUCAUCUUCAGUGUUGAAUUUAAAUAUCUGAGGAUUGCAGUGCAAGCUGCAUAAAGUAGGACAUGUUUAAUCUUACUAAACCCUAACCACACUUCCACAAGAUUAAAAGGCCAAAAUGAGAAAUAUUCCAGUACAAAAUCUUCCUCGCCUUACAGUUUAUUUUGAUGAUUGUCAGCAUAUUUAUUUUGAUGAUUGUCAGCAUAGUUUUACCUAUUUAACACUAGGAUAGACUUUAAUGGCAUUACCAUCUAUAAAGAGACAGUUUUAAAAUUCAAGUCCCUGAUUCAUUUCAUGUCUUCAAGGUUGAGAAAUGGGAGUGUUGGUGGAGUGGUAGUACCUUUGUGUUAUCACCAAUACUCUGGUCCACACACCACACUUAGCUCACUUUCAGCCUCCAUGAUGCCA